AUCUGGCUCUUUCAGAGUCCGAGUUGUAAUUUGCAGAGGGCGCUUUGGCUUUGGCAGCGGUCCAAGUUCCUUGGAACAGGACGUCACAGAGGGUGAGAAUCCCGUACGUGGUCGCUAGCUAUUGCCGUGUAAAGCCCCUUCGACGAGUCGAGUUGUUUGGGAAUGCAGCUCUAAAUGGGAGGUAAAUUUCUUCUAAAGCUAAAUAUUGGCCAGAGACCGAUAGCGCACAAGUAGAGUGAUCGAAAGAUGAAAAGCACUUUGGAAAGAGAGUCAAACAGCACGUGAAAUUGUUGAAAGGGAAGCGCUUGCAGCCAGACUUGCUUGCAGUUGCUCAUCCGGGCUUUUGCCCGGUGCACUCUUCUGUAGGCAGGCCAGCAUCAGUUUGGGCGGUGGGAUAAAGGUCUCUGUCACGUACCUCUCUUCGGGGAGGCCUUAUAGGGGAGACGACAUACCACCAGCCUAGACUGAGGUCCGCGCAUCUGCUAGGAUGCUGGCGUAAUGGCUGUAAGCGGCCCGUCUUGAAACACGGACCAAGGAGUCUAACAUCUAUGCGAGUGUUUGGGUGUCAAGCCCGAGCGCGUAAUGAAAGUGAACGGAGGUGGGAACCCGCAAGGGUGCACCAUCGACCGAUCCUGAAGUUUACGGAAGGAUUUGAGUAAGAGCAUGGCUGUUGGGACCCGAAAGAUGGUGAACUAUGCUUGAAUAGGGUGAAGCCAGAGGAAACUCUGGUGGAGGCUCGCAGCGGUUCUGACGUGCAAAUCGAUCGUCAAAUUUGGGCAUAGGGGCGAAAGACUAAUCGAAACUAUCUAGUAGCUGGUUCCUGCCGAAGUUUCCCCUCAGGAAA
rnacentral:rRNA from 1 species